rnacentral:rRNA from 1 species
UACGGGGGGGGCAAGCGUUGUUCGGAAUUACUGGGCGUAAAGGGCUCGUAGGCGGCCAACUAAGUCGGAUGUGAAAUCCCCAAGCUUAACUUGGGAACUGCAUCCGAUACUGGAUGGCUUGAAUCCGGGAGAGGGAUGUAGAAUUCCAGGUGUAGCGGUGAAAUGCGUAGAUAUCUGGAGGAAUACCGGUGGCGAAGGCGGCAUCCUGGACCGGCAUUGACGCUGAGGAGCGAAAGCUAGGGGAGCAAACGGG